rnacentral:rRNA from 1 species
GAAGUGCGAAUGCUGACGUGAGUAACGAUAAAGCGGGUGAAAAACCCGCUCGCCGGAAGAUCAAGGUUUCCUGUCCAACGCUAAUCGGGACAGGGUUAGUCGGUACCUAAGGCGAGGCCGAAAGGCGUAGUCGAUGGAAAACAGGUUAAUAUUCCUGUACCGCUAUAUACUGCGAUGGGGGGACGGAGAAGGCUAGGUGAUCAGGGCGAUGGUUGUCCCUGUACAAGCUUGUAGGGAGAUCUCUUAGGUAAAUCCGGGAGAUCAUUAUCCUGAGGAGUGAUGUCGAGCUCAAUUGCGAGCGAAGUCAUUAAUGCCAUGCUUCCAAGAAAAGCCUCUAAGCUUCAGGUAUAUAGAGACCGUACUCCAAACCGACACAGGUGAUCAGGUAGAGAAUACCAAGGCGCUUGAGAGAACUAUGGUGAAGGAACUAGGCAAAAUGGUGCCGUAACUUCGGGAGAAGGCACGCCGAUUUUGGUGAUGGGAUUUACUCCCUAAGCUGAGGUUGGCCGCAGAGACCAGGCCCCUGCGACUGUUUAUCUAAAACACAGCACUCUGCAAACUCGUAAGAGGAAGUAUAGGGUGUGACGCCUGCCCGGUGCCGGAAGGUUAAUUGAUGGGGUUAGCUUCGGCGAAGCUCUUGAUCGAAGCCCCGGUAAACGGCGGCCGUAACUAUAACGGUCCUAAGGUAGCGAAAUUCCUUGUCGGGUAAGUUCCGACCUGCACGAAUGGCGUAACGACGGGGGCGCUGUCUCCACCAUAGACUCAGUGAAAUCGAAAUCGCGGUGAAGAUGCCGUGUUCCCGCGGCUAGACGGAAAGACCCCGUGAACCUUUACUAUAGCUUGGCACUGAACUUUGAAUCUAUCUGUGUAGGAUAGGUGGGAGGCUUUGAAGCGUUAUCGCUAGAUAGCGUGGAGCCACCCUUGAAAUACCACCCUGGUAUAUUUGAGGUUCUAACUCUGACCCAUUAUCUGGGUCGAGGACAGUGUCUGGUGGGUAGUUUGACUGGGGCGGUCUCCUCCCAAAGAGUAACGGAGGAGCGCGAAGGUACACUCAGCAUGGUCGGAAAUCAUGCUAUGAGCGCAAAGGUAGAAGUGUGCUUGACUGCGAGACUGACACGUCGAGCAGGUACGAAAGUAGGUCUUAGUGAUCCGGUGGUUCUGUAUGGAAGGGCCAUCGCUCAA